rnacentral:rRNA from 1 species
GACGAACGCUGGCGGCGUGCUUAACACAUGCAAGUCGAACGGAAAGGCCCUGCUUUUGUGGGGUGCUCGAGUGGCGAACGGAUGAGUAACACGUGAGUAACCUGCCCUUGACUUUGGGAUAACUUCAGGAAACUGGGGCCAAUACCGGAUAGGAGCUCCUACGGAAUGGUGGGGGUUGGAAAGUUUCGGCGGUCGGGGAUGGACUCGAGGCUUAUCAGUUUGUUGGUGGGGUAGUGGCUUACCAAGGCUUUGACGGGUAGCCGGCCUGAGCGGGUUACCGGCCACAAUGGGACUGAGAUACGGCCCAGACUCCUACGGGAGGCAGCGGUGGGGAAUAUUGCACAAUGGGGGGAAGCCUGAUGCAGCAACGCUGCGUGCGGGAUGACGGCCUUCGGGUUGUAAACCGCUUUCGCCUGUGACGAAGCGUGAGUGACGGUAAUGGGUAAAGAGGCACCGGCUAACUACGUG